GUUAUUUUUCCCAACUAGUUGCCACCCCACCGGUGUCCACCGAUACGUGUGAGCUUUUGGUUGCAUCGAUUUUGUACAGCAAGCUGCAGAUAUCCUGAGCAACUUGCAAGUGAAGGAGAAGAUUUGUGCACGUGACUACAAACCGACUGCCCUGAAACGCAGUCGGUUUUUAUUGUAUCCUGGAAGACCCGACUGACCGGCGGACCAGUGCAGAUCGUUGUUGCUGUCUGUUCCUGCCUCGCGUGAAUAGGUCGUCGCGGAAAACCAGAUAAGUGGCAUGCAUGCAUGAAAAACAGUGAAAAGCCAGUAAUCGUGCACGAACUUUUAACUUUCUGGCAAAUGGUUUGCGCGUAGUUAGAAUAUCACCUAGAU